CAUGGAAAAUGUUUUUUUUUUUCACAGUAAAACAAAAAAAAAAUCAAAUGAGAAUUUGUUUCUCUGAGUAAUCUUCUUAAAUAUCCCCAAUUAAUGUAAAUCUUAGGAAAUACGAUUUUUC